UACGAAGGAUGCAAGCGUUAUCCGGAUUUAUUGGGUUUAAAGGGAGCGUAGGCGGUCUUAUAAGUCAGUGGUGAAAUCUCGAUGCUUAACAUCGAACGUGCCAUUGAUACUGUAGGACUUGAGUACAGAUGCCGUUGGCGGAAUGUGUCAUGUAGCGGUGAAUGCAUAGAUAUGACACAGAACACCGAUUGCGAAGGCAGCUGACGGAAACUGUAAACUGACGCUAAGGCUCGAAAGCG
rnacentral:rRNA from 1 species